CCUUAAUGGCGAUACAUUUUCUAUCGGCAACUCUUCGCAAAUAUAAGAAAGCAGACUCACUGAAAGAAAUCGGAAGUCACAUCAUCUCGGUGGUGGUGGUGGUGUACUGGUUGUUGUUGUUGUUUAAUACCAGGCCAGCUCUGAUCAAGCAGAUCUGUUUUAAGAACAAGAACGCUGACUAAUCUAUCUCUCUCUCCUGCAUUAGGCCUUUUUAAAUGCCCCCAUACAGCCAUCCAUCCAUCCAUCCAUCCAUACAUACAUACAUAUAAAACCAUGGGCACAGGGCGUAAGUGUGUCUUACGAAGCUUGCUUCCCAACCACACUGUUUCGGGUUCGGUCCCUCUGCGUGGCACCUUGGGCAAGUGUCUUCUACUUUAGCCUCCGGCUGACCAAUACCUUGUGAGCGGAUUUGGUUAGACGGGAACUGAAAGAAGCCUGUCGUAUAAAUGUAUAUAUAUAUAUAUAUAUAUUCUUUGUAUUAUUACAUUAUUGAACGCACACGUCCUUUUUGCAAAAAAUAAUAAUGGCAGACCCUCAGCUUACUCAAGAAAUGAAGAGGCAUGCUGUUAUUGUGGUUAUAAAGGCUGAACAUAGCGAUUUAGAAAUAUCUCGAUUUUUAAAAGUUGCCAGAUCUUUUGUCUACAAGGUUUGUAAGGAGCUAGAGACUGAAGAUGGAAACGUAUGACCAGUAUCAAAGCAUAAAAAACAUUCUAAACUCUCUGGAAUCAUCAGAACACCUGAAUUUAUCCAGCUAGUUCAACAGACCAUUGAUUACUAUCCCAGAAAGUCCAUGAGGUCAAUUGCAAAAGAUCUCCAUGUGUUUGAAGGAACUGUCAGAAAUGUUGUCCACAAAAACAUCGGAUAUGAUGAGCGUAAACAACAGAAAGCUUGUAGAAUUAUUACACCACCUCCUCCAAACCUCUUCAUCAACAACAACAACAGUAACAACAAUAGCAACAUCAAAGCACAUACAGACUAUAAAGCAAAUACCCCCACAAAGAAAGAGAAACGUCCGUCAAAGAUGACAACUAUAGCACGAAUGAAUCGCAGUGAAUCACCACCAUUUGCAAUAACAAAUUAUUACGGCUGAACCAAUAACAAUACAACGUAAUGAAUAAAUGAAUAAAAAAACCCAAACAUGAUGAAACAACAACGAUAGUAACAAGUACAACUAUGUCAGAAAAUAAAAAUAUUUGCUUAAAAAAA